AUGAAGUGGCGCCAAGCUUCUGGCAUUCUCUGUGACAAGAGAGUGCCACAAAAGCUAAAAGGCAAGUUCUACAGGACGGCGGUUCGACCCGCAAUGUUGUAUGGCGCGGAGUGUUGGCCGACUAAAAGGCGACAUGUUCAACAGUUAGGUGUGGCGGAGAUGCGUAUGUUGAGAUGGAUGUGUGGCGACACGAGGAAGGAUCGAGUCCGGAAUGAUGAUAUACGAGAUAGAAUUGGGGUAGCACCAAUUGAGGAGAAGCUUGUCCAACAUCGUUUGAGAUGGUUUGGGCAUAUUCAGCGCAGGCCUCCAGAAGCUCCAGUGCAUAGCGGACGGCUAAAGCGUGCGGAGAAUGUCAAGAGAGGGCGGGGUCGACCGAUUUUGACAUGGGAGGAGUCCGUUAAGAGAGACCUGAAGGAUUGGAGUAUCGACAAAGAGCUAGCUAUGGACAGGGGUGCGUGGAAGCUUGCUAUCCAUGUGCCAGAGCCAUGA
rnacentral:rRNA from 1 species